UCUCUGGAAGACGUCUUUAAGACAUCUUAAAGAUGUCUACUACAAGACGUCUUGUUAAUGCCUGACACAAGACGUCUCUUAAAUGUCUACUACAAGACGUUUUGACGAACUUGCUCGAGUGCAUCCGAUUGCAGUGAAAACAUUUAAUUUCGUUUAUUAAAUCGUCUAUUGCGGUUAGUUAUACACUGUAUUUAGCUGUUUAGUUUUUUUUUAAAUUUGUGAAUUUACGAUUUAUACAGAACCGAACACGAAGCGAAUAUGUGCAAGUGGUAAGCUAAACAAACAUCAUAUAUAUAUGAGGGGCCACCGAAAGACAGAAAAUUUACAAUUCCCUUGAGUUCGGUCAGUGGUGACAUCGUUUCACAGCCUGGGUGCAGCUCAAACAACUCAACGUUGCAAGUGCAACAAGUGAACCAAUCACUAAUCCUAAUGUCAAUGACAGUAGUGAGUUUUUAUGUCAUAAUUCGGAUACUGAUUCCAUAGCAGACGACAAUGAAUUUGAAGGUUAUCCUACUUAUGAUCGUUAACAUUUUGCAGUAUAUAUCAAAGCAAUUAUUUGUGACGCUCCUGCAAAAUCAUAUGUAAAAUAUAUUAAAGGGUCUAUUUUCAUGACAUACAUAACCUACGUAUAAGGAGAGAUUGUGACUUCCGACAAAAAACUGAUGACAACCAUUAUACUGGGAAGCCAAUUUUAGAAAAACUACCCAAACUUGACAUGAUCAAAUCUUUUCCGUUAGACUAUAUGCACUUGGUUUGCUUGGAUGUUACUAAAAACUCUUGUUAUUAUAGUGUUGUGGUAAACCUUCAACAAAAUUAUCUUCUAACAAAAUAGCCUGUAUUUGAUAGGCAAAAUACAAAAAAAUAAUGAAAUAAAAA